ACAAACCUCUAUCACUUUAUGUGCUAAGAAAUCACACAAGAAACAUUGAGAAGGAAUAUUUGGUAACGCAUUCAGUAAUGGGAUUAUCAAGUUCCAAUUUACAACAAUUCUUGUCAGACUUGCAAAUUCUUGAAGAAAACACAGUGCAACUUUUAUGGGCAGGAAAAGAGCUCACCAGAGGGAAAAAAUUGUGUGACUUUAUAGGAAGAAAUGAGAAGACAAAGAUCGUUAUAAGGUUGCAGUCACCUAUUCCACCUCCUGCAUCACUCACUGGUGGAGAAAAAUGUUGAAAGAAACUGACGUCGUCUGGUUUUUGAACGACUUUUAAAUGGGAAACACACUCCUUUUGAAUGAUCUUCUUGUAUAAUCCCAUAAAGUAGGGUUUGGAGAGGGUAGGAAUUACUGUUGAAUGAAAACUAUUUAUGUAGACCUUGCAUCUCAACUACCACUAGUAUCCCGAGGAUUCUAAA
rnacentral:misc_RNA from 1 species